GGGCCGCUAGCUCAGCUGGCAGAGCAACGCCCUUUUAAGGCGUGGGUCACUGGUUCGAACCCAGUGCGGCUCA
rfam:Spirochaetaceae bacterium 4572_59 ex4572_59_scaffold_4, whole genome shotgun sequence.